rnacentral:rRNA from 1 species
UACGUAGGGUGCGAGCGUUGUCCGGAAUUAUUGGGCGUAAAGAGCUCGUAGGCGGUCUGUCGCGUCUGCUGUGAAAACUCAGGGCUUAACCCUGAGCUUGCAGUGGGUACGGGCAGACUAGAGUGCGGUAGGGGAGACUGGAAUUCCUGGUGUAGCGGUGAAAUGCGCAGAUAUCAGGAGGAACACCGGUGGCGAAAGCGGCUUACUGGGUCUCUUCUGACGCUGAGGUACGAAAGCUAGGGGAGCGAACGGG